AUACCCCAUAGGCCGAGAGGUUAAAGGCAGAGAUGUGCCGUAGGAGGUGCUCGUGUCCUAUCAGCUAGUUGGUGAGGUAAGGGCUCACCAAGGCUUCGACGGGUAGCCGGCCUGAGAGGGUGACCGGCCACACUGGAACUGAGAUACGGUCCAGACUCCUACGGGAGGCAGCAGUGGGGAAUAUUGGGCAAUGGGAGGAAUCCUGACCCAGCGACGCCGCGUGAACGAAGACGGCCUUCGGGUUGUAAAGUUCUUUUAUGUGGGAAGAAGGAAGUGACGGUACCACAUGAAUAAGCCCCGGCUAACUACGUGCCAGCAGCCGCGGUAAUACGUAGGGGGCGAGCGUUGUCCGGAAUUACUGGGCGUAAAGGGCACGCAGGCUGUGCUUCAAGUCAGCUGUAAAAGGAUGCGGCUUAACCGUGUUAUGCAGUUGAGACUGAGGUGCUGGAGUACCGGAGAGGCAAGUGGAAUUCCCAGUGUAGCGGUGAAAUGCGUAGAUAUUGGGAAGAACAUCGGUGGCGAAGGCGACUUGCUGGACGGUAACUGACGCUGAGGUGCGAAAGCCAGGGUAGCGAACGGGAUUAGAUACCCCGGUAGUCCUGGCGGUAAACGAUGAAUGCUAGGUGUGCGAGCAGAGAUGUUGGCGUGC
rnacentral:rRNA from 1 species